rnacentral:lncRNA from 1 species
CGAGCGGAGCCGMCCGGCGGGGCGGGGGAGCCAGCGGCUGCCCGUGCAGGGCGGCGGGUGGCGGCCUGGGGUGUUGCUCCCCGGCAGGGCAGGACCGGUUUCAGAACAUGAAAGAAAAUGCAAUUAAAUGCAUUAUUACAGAGUUGUCUGCCACACCCAUUCUUGCUUUCUAGUAUGUGGGAGUACGUUAGGAAUGUUGAUCCUUGUGCAUUUAUCACCUCAGCAGCACUCUGGAGAAAUCUGUAUUUGUUAAGAUAACCUGGUAAAACUUCUGGACACAACAUUCAGCUGAGAAUAAUAGCAGGCAUAGGAAGA